rnacentral:rRNA from 1 species
CCUACGGGAGGCAGCAGUGAGGAAUAUUGGUCAAUGGGCGUAAGCCUGAACCAGCCAAGUCGCGUGAGGGAUGAAGGUUCUAUGGGUCGUAAACCUCUUUUAUAAGGGAAUAAAGUGAGGGACGUGUCCCGUUUUGUAUGUACCUUAUGAAUAAGGAUCGGCUAACUCCGUGCCAGCAGCCGCGGUAAUACGGAGGGUCCGAGCGUUAUCCGGAUUUAUUGGGUUUAAAGGGUGCGUAGAUGGCAUUUUAAGUCAGCUGUGAAAGUCUGUGGCUCAACCAUAAAAUUGCCAUUGAUACUGGCAGUCUUGAGUAUGUUUGAGGCAGGCGGAAUGCGUGGUGUAGCGGUGAAAUGCUUAGAUAUCACGAAGAACCCCGAUUGCGAAGGCAGCUUGCUAAGCCAUCACUGACGCUGAUGCACGAAAGCGUGGGGAUCAAACAGGAUUAGAUACCCGAGUAGUC